rnacentral:rRNA from 1 species
AAAAAUGGCACCGUAACUUCGGGAGAAGGUGCGCCGGUGAGGGUGAAGCAUUUACUGCGUAAGCUCAUGCCGGUCGAAGAUACCAGGCCGCUGCGACUGUUUAUUAAAAACACAGCACUCUGCAAACACGAAAGUGGACGUAUAGGGUGUGACGCCUCCCCGGUGCCGGAAGGUUAAUUGAUGGGGUUAGCUAACGCGAAGCUCUUGAUCGAAGCCCCGGUAAACGGCGGCCGUAACAAUAACGGUCCUAAGGUAGCGAAAUUCCUUGUCGGGUAAGUUCCGACCUGCACGAAUGGCGUAACGAUGGCGGCGCUGUCUCCACCCGAGACUCAGUGAAAUUGAAAUCGCUGUGAAGAUGCAGUGUAUCCGCGGCUAGACGGAAAGACCCCGUGAACCUUUACUAUAGCUUUGCACUGGACUUUGAAUUUGCUUGUGUAGGAUAGGUGGGAGGCUUUGAAGCGAGGACGCCAGUUCUUGUGGAGCCAAUCUUGAAAUACCACCCUGGCAACUUUGAGGUUCUAACUCUGGUCCGUUAUCCGGAUCGAGGACAGUGUAUGGUGGGUAGUUUGACUGGGGCGGUCUCCUCCUAAAGAGUAACGGAGGAGUACGAAGGUGCGCUCAGACCGGUCGAAAUCGGUCGUAGAGUAUAAAGGCAAAAGCGCGCUUGACUGCGAGACAGACACGUCGAGCAGGUACGAAAGUAGGUCUUAGUGAUCCGGUGGUUCUGUAUGGAAGGGCCAUCGCUCAACGGAUAAAAGGUACUCCGGGGAUAACAGGCUGAUACCGCCCAAAAGUUCAUAUCGACGGCGGUGUUUGGCACCUCGAUGUCGGCUCAUCACAUCCUGGGGCUGAAGCCGGUCCCAAGGGUAUGGCUGUUCGCCAUUUAAAGUGGUACGCGAGCUGGGUUUAGAACGUCGUGAGACAGUUCGGUCCCUAUCUGCCGUGGACGUUUGAGAUUUGAGAGGGGCUGCUCCUAGUACGAGAGGACCGGAGUGGACGAACCUCUGGUGUUCCGGUUGUCACGCCAGUGGCAUCGCCGGGUAGCUAUGUUCGGAAUAGAUAACCGCUGAAAGCAUCUAAGCGGGAAACUAGCCUCAAGAUGAGAUCUCACUGGGACCUUGAGUCCCCUGAAGGGCCGUCGAAGACUACGACGUUGAUAGGUGGGGUGUGUAAGCGUUGUGAGGCGUUGAGCUAACCCAUACUAAUUGCCCGUGAGGCUUGACC